CCCCCUUUCAGGUAGUUGAAAGCAGCUAUCAAAUCCCCUCUCAUUCUUCUCUUCUGCAGACUAAAUCCAGGACUAAAUUCCAGGGACCCUGGAAUACAAUGAGCACUACGUUCUCCUAGAACAGUGGUGGGCAACCUGCGGCCCAUCAGGAUAAUCCGCUGGCAGGCCACAGGAGCUAUGUCAGUUUACACCAGCUAAGGAUCUGGCCCUGUACUGGGUUCUGCACACUCAGUGCUGUCCAGAGGCUCUGAUAGGCAAUGCAUCUGCCCUUUGCUUCCAUAUUCUAAUGUGUACUCCAUUGUGUACCAUAUUAAGAAACCGGUACACAAGAGAUGCGAACUAAAAAUAGUCUGUGGCUACUUCGUCUGCAGCAUAACCUCUCUGCAUGUAUCUAUCUGCCUAUUGAUUUGCCCACCAGCAUCAUAGAAUUUCUAAGUGUCUGAGAACCAGUGCUUCAUACUCUGUGCCUCUUUGAAGUAGACUGAAGUAGCUGCAUACAGGUGAUCCUGUUUGUAAAAAUCAAAGAUCUAACAGCCUCCUUUUCCGUGGAAUAAAUA
rnacentral:lncRNA from 1 species